AACCCAGGACCUACUUGGAAAGGCAUGCUGGGUCUCUUCCACAGACUUUAAGCUCUCCCUACACCAGAAUUUAGGUGAGUGCUUUGAGGACAUGAAGCUAUUCCUCCCACCACCAGUAGCCUUGGGCUGGCCCACGCCAACUGUGGAGCUGGAGCGGGAGGGAGGAGUACAGACAUGGAAUUUUAAUUCUGUAAUCCAGGGCUUCAGUUAUGUACAACAUCCAUGCCAUUUGAUGAUUCCACCACUCCUUUUCCAUCUCCCAGAAGCCUGCUUUUUAAUGCCCGCUUAAUAUUAUCAGAGCCGAGCCUGGAAUCAAACUGCCUCUUUCAAAACCUGCCACUAUAUCCUGGCUUUGUGACCUCAGCCAAGUUGCUUGACUAUUCUCAGUCUCAGUUUCUGCACCUGUCAAAUAGGGUUUAUGUUAACCUAACUUUCAGGGCUGUCAGGAUUAAAUGAGCAUGAACCACAUAAAAUGUUUGGUGUAUAGUAAGUGUACAGUAAAUACUUCCAUUAUCAGUCCCUGCAAUUCUAUUUUUCUUCCUUCUCUACACAGCCCCUGUCUGGCUUUAAAAUGUCCUGCCCUGCUUUUUAUGAGUGGAUACCCCCAGCCCUAUGUGGAUUAGCAAGUUAAGUAAUGACACUCAGAGACAGUUCCAUCUUUGUCCAUAACUUGCUCUGUGAUCCAGUGUGCAUCACUCAAACAGACUAUCUCUUUUCUCCUACAAAACAGACAGCUGCCUCUCAGAUAAUGUUGGGGGCAUAGGAGGAAUGGGAAGCCCGCUAAGAGAACAGAAGUCAAAAACAGUUGGGUUCUAGAUGGGAGGAGGUGUGCGUGCACAUGUAUGUUUGUGUUUCAGGUCUUGGAAUCUCAGCAGGUCAGUCACAUUGCAGUGUGUCGCUUCACCUGGCUCCCUCUUUUAAAGAUUUUCCUUCCCUCUUUCCAACUCCCUGGGUCCUGGAUCCUCCAACAGUGUCAGGGUUAGAUGCCUUUUAUGGGCCACUUGCAUUAGUGUCCUGAUAGAGGCUUAAUCACUGCUCAGAAACUGCCUUCUGCCCACUGGCAAAGGGAGGCAGGGGAAAUACAUGAUUCUAAUUAAUGGUCCAGGCAGAGAGGACACUCAGAAUUUCAGGACUGAAGAGUAUACAUGUGUGUGAUGGUAAAUGGGCAAAAAUCAUCCCUUGGCUUCUCAUGCAUAAUGCAUGGGCACACAGACUCAAACCCUCUCUCACACACAUACACAUAUACAUUGUUAUUCCACACACAAGGCAUAAUCCCAGUGUCCAGUGCACAUGCAUACACGCACACAUUCCCUUCCUAGGCCACUGUAUUGCUUUCCUAGGGCAUCUUCUUAUAAGACACCAGUCGUAUAAGGAGCCCACCCCACUCAUCUGAGCUUAUCAACCAAUUACAUUAGGAAAGACUGUAUUUCCUAGUAAGGUCACAUUCAGUAGUACUGAGGGUUGGGACUUCAACACAGCUUUUUGGGGGAUCAUAAUUCAACCCAUGACAGCCACUGAGAUUAUUAUAUCUCCAGAGAAUAAAUGUGUGGAGUUAAAAGGAAGAUACAUGUGGUACAAGGGGUGGUAAGGCAAGGGUAAAAGGGGAGGGAGGGGAUUGAACUAGACACAGACACAUGAGCAGGACUUUGGGGAGUGUGUUUUAUAUCUGUCAGAUGCCUAGAACAGCACCUGAAAUAUGGGACUCAAUCAUUUUAGUCCCCUUCUUUCUAUAAGUGUGUGUGUGCGGAUAUGUGUGCUAGAUGUUCUUGCUGUGUUAGGAGGUGAUAAACAUUUGUCCAUGUUAUAUAGGUGGAAAGGGUCAGACUACUAAAUUGUGAAGACAUCAUCUGUCUGCAUUUAUUGAGAAUGUGAAUAUGAAACAAGCUGCAAGUAUUCUAUAAAUGUUCACUGUUAUUA
rnacentral:lncRNA from 1 species